rnacentral:ncRNA from 1 species
UAAAUACGGUCACGAGACCGAUAGCGAACAAGUACCGUGAGGGAAAGUUGAAAAGCACUUUGGUGAGAGAGUUAAAAAGUACGUGAAACCGUCGAGAGGCAAACGGGAGGGCCUGUCGGGUCGUUCGGUCGCUUUCAGGCGGGCCGGAGACCGGGUCGCGGGAUCGGGGACCUUCGCGGGCCUCGACUCGCGUCGCCGGCCGACGGCUCGGCGCACUAGCGUCGGACGAGGGCCGCGACCGGCUGGGCGGCGGGCAAACGGCUCCGGGCAAGGUAACCCCGCUUCGGCGGGGUGCUACAGGCCCGGUGCGCGCAAGGGUCGCCGCCCGGUCGAGGAGAGAUGCGCGCCGCACCUGCCCCGUUCGCGGGGCCGGGGAAGCCGUUCGAGCAGCGUCGUGUCGCGGUCCGGGACUGUCCUCAGUCCCGGGUCGUCUCGGCGCGGUUCCGAGCGGUCGCUCCCUCGCGAGGUGCCGCGGGUCAGCGGCUGACGCCAGCCACCUUCCCGACCCGUCUUGAAACACGGACCAAGGAGUCUAACAUGUGCGCGAGCCGCGGGGCAGUACGAAACCCGUAAGGCGAAAUGAAGGUGAACGCCGGCGCGGUCCGGCGGAGGUUGGAUCCCGUCCCGUCGGGGCGGGCGCACUACCGGCCGAUCUUCUCCGCCCUGUCGGCGAGGUCGAGCGAGAGCGUGCAAGUCGGGACCCGAAAGAUGGUGAACU